CAGUAGCCACGGGAAUACGAAGGGUGCAAGCGUUAAUCGGAAUUACUGGGCGUAAAGCGUGCGUAGGCGGUUUGUUAAGUCUGCUGUGAAAUCCCCGGGCUCAACCUGGGAAUGGCAGUGGAUACUGGCAAGCUAGAGUGUGUCAGAGGAUGGUGGAAUUCCCGGUGUAGCGGUGAAAUGCGUAGAGAUCGGGAGGAACAUCAGUGGCGAAGGCGGCCAUCUGGGACAACACUGACGCUGAGGCACGAAAGCGUGGGGAGCAAACAGGAUUAGAUACCCCGGUAGUCCCUGUCUCUUAUAA
rnacentral:rRNA from 1 species